UACGUAGGGGGCAAGCGUUGUCCGGAUUUAUUGGGCGUAAAGAGCGUGUAGGCGGCUAGAUAGGUCCGUUGUGAAAACUCGAGGCUCAACCUCGAGACGCCGGUGGAAACCAUCUAGCUAGAGUCCGGAAGAGGAGAGUGGAAUUCCUGGUGUAGCGGUGAAAUGCGCAGAUACCAGGAAGAACACCCGUGGCGAAGGCGGCUCUCUGGUACGUGACUGACGCUGAGACGCGAAAGCGUGGGGAGCGAACAGG
rnacentral:rRNA from 1 species